GGAGGAAAGCAGGGGAUCGCAAGACCUUGCGCUAAAGGAGCGGCCGAUGUCUGAUUAGUUAGUUGGUGGGGUAAAGGCCUACCAAGGCAACGAUCAGUAGCUGGUCUGAGAGGACGAUCAGCCACACUGGGACUGAGACACGGCCCAGACUCCUACGGGAGGCAGCAGUGGGGAAUUUUGGACAAUGGGCGAAAGCCUGAUCCAGCCAUGCCGCGUGAAUGAAGAAGGCCUUCGGGUUGUAAAGUUCUUUUAGUUGGAAAGAAAAAAUUAUGAUGAAUAAUCAUAAUUCAUGACGGUACCGACAGAAAAAGCACCGGCUAACUACGUGCCAGCAGCCGCGGUAAUACGUAGGGUGCAAGCGUUAAUCGGAAUUACUGGGCGUAAAGGGUGUGCAGGCGACCUUGUAAGUCAGAUGUGAAAGCCCC
rnacentral:rRNA from 1 species